GACGAACGCUGGCGGCGUGCUUAACACAUGCAAGUCGAACGGUAAGGCCCCUCGGGGUACACGAGUGGCGAACGGGUGAGUAACACGUGGGUGAUCUGCCCUGCACUUCGGGAUAAGCCUGGGAAACUGGGUCUAAUACCGGAUAGGACUCCGGACUGCAUGGUCUGGGGUGGAAAGCUUUUGCGGUGUGGGAUGGGCCCGCGGCCUAUCAGCGUGUUGGUGGGGGGAUGGCCUACCAAGGCGACGACGGGUCGCCGGCCUGAGGGGGUGACCGACCACACUGGGACUGAGAUACGGCCCAGACUCCUACGGGAGGCAGCAGUGGGGAAUAUUGCACAAUGGGCGCAAGCCUGAUGCAGCGACGCCGCGUGAGGGAUGACGGCCUUCGGGUUGUAAACCUCUUUCAGCAUCGACGAAGCGAAAGUGACGGUAGGUGCAGAAGAAGGACCGGCCAACUACGUGCCAGCAGCCGCCGUAA
rnacentral:rRNA from 1 species